rnacentral:rRNA from 1 species
AGUGAACGCUGGCGGUAGGCCUAACACAUGCAAGUCGAACGGCGGCACAGUAAGAGCUUGCUCUUACGGGUGGCGAGUGGCGGACGGGUGAGGAAUACAUCGGAAUCUACUUUUUCGUGCGGGAUAACGUAGGGAAACUUACGCUAAUACCGCAUACGACCUACGGGUGAAAGCAGGGGAUCUUCGGACCUUGCGCGAUUGAAUGAGCCGAUGUCGGAUUAGCUAGUUGGCGGGGUAAAGGCCCACCAAGGCGACGAUCCGUAGCUGGUCUGAGAGGAUGAUCAGCCACACUGGAACUGAGACACGGUCCAGACUCCUACGGGAGGCAGCAGUGGGGAAUAUUGGACAAUGGGCGCAAGCCUGAUCCAGCCAUACCGCGUGGGUGAAGAAGGCCUUCGGGUUGUAAAGCCCUUUUGUUGGGAAAGAAAAGCAGCAGGUUAAUACCCCGCUGUUCUGACGGUACCCAAAGAAUAAGCACCGGCUAACUUCGUG